AGGAAGGUCCCCCACACUGGUGCUGAGACACGGACCAGACUCCUACGGGAGGCAGCAGUGAGGAAUAUUGGUCAAUGGUCGGGAGACUGAACCAGCCAAGCCGCGUGAGGGAUGAAGGUACAGAGUAUCGUAAACCUCUUUUGUCAGGGAACAAAGGCGGGGACGUGUCCCCGGAUGAGUGUACCUGAAGAAAAAGCAUCGGCUAACUCCGUGCCAGCAGCCGCGGUAAUACGGAGGAUGCGAGCGUUAUCCGGAUUUAUUGGGUUUAAAGGGUGCGCAGGCGGUCUGUUAAGUCAGCGGUCAAAGCCCGGGGCUCAACCCCGGCCCGCCGUUGAAACUGGCAGUCUCGAGUUGGAGAGAAGUAUGCGGAAUGCGCGGUGUAGCGGUGAAAUGCAUAGAUAUCGCGCAGAACUCCGAUUGCGAAGGCAGCAUGCCGGCUCCACACUGACGCUGAGGCACGAAAGCGUGGGUAUCGAACAGGAUUAGAUACCCUGGUAGUCCACGCAGUAAACGAUGAAUGAAGGGUGUCCGGG
rnacentral:rRNA from 1 species